UGGCGAACGGGUGAGUAAUACAUCGGAACGUGCCCUGUAGUGGGGGAUAACUAGUCGAAAGACUAGCUAAUACCGCAUACGACCUGAGGGUGAAAGUGGGGGACCGCAAGGCCUCAUGCUAUAGGAGCGGCCGAUGUCUGAUUAGCUAGUUGGUGGGGUAAAGGCCCACCAAGGCGACGAUCAGUAGCUGGUCUGAGAGGACGAUCAGCCACACUGGGACUGAGACACGGCCCAGACUCCUACGGGAGGCAGCAGUGGGGAAUUUUGGACAAUGGGGGCAACCCUGAUCCAGCAAUGCCGCGUGUGUGAAGAAGGCCUUCGGGUUGUAAAGCACUUUUGUCCGGAAAGAAAUCGCACUGGUUAAUACCUGGUGUGGAUGACGGUACCGGAAGAAUAAGGACCGGCUAACUACGUGCCAGCAGCCGCGGUAAUACGUAGGGUCCAAGCGUUAAUCGGAAUUACUGGGCGUAAAGCGUGCGCAGGCGGUUGUGCAAGACCGAUGUGAAAUCCCCGGGCUUAACCUGGGAAUUGCAUUGGUGACUGCACGGCUAGAGUGUGUCAGAGGGAGGUAGAAUUCCACGUGUAGCAGUGAAAUGCGUAGAGAUGUGGAGGAAUACCGAUGGCGAAGGCAGCCUCCUGGGAUAACACUGACGCUCAUGCACGAAAGCGUGGGGAGCAAACAGGAUUAGAUACCCUGGUAGUCCACGCCCCUAAACGAUGUCAACUAGUUGUUGGGGGAUUCAUUUCCUUAGUAACGUAGCUAACGCGUGAAGUUGACCGCCUGGGGAGUACGGUCGCAAGAUUAAAACUCAAAGGAAUUGACGGGGACCCGCACAAGCGGUGGAUGAUGUGGAUUAAUUCGAUGCAACGCGAAAAACCUUACCUACCCUUGACAUGCCACUAACGAAGCAGAGAUGCAUUAGGUGCUCGAAAGAGAAAGUGGACACAGGUGCUGCAUGGCUGUCGUCAGCUCGUGUCGUGAGAUGUUGGGUUAAGUCCCGCAACGAGCGCAACCCUUGUCUCUAGUUGCUACGAAAGGGCACUCUAGAGAGACUGCCGGUGACAAACCGGAGGAAGGUGGGGAUGACGUCAAGUCCUCAUGGCCCUUAUGGGUAGGGCUUCACACGUCAUACAAUGGUGCAUACAGAGGGUUGCCAAGCCGCGAGGUGGAGCUAAUCCCAGAAAAUGCAUCGUAGUCCGGAUCGUAGUCUGCAACUCGACUACGUGAAGCUGGAAUCGCUAGUAAUCGCGG
rnacentral:rRNA from 1 species